GGGCUCUCACUGUGGUACACCUAUACUAAAAUUGGAAUAAUAUGGAGAAGAUUAGCAUGGCCUCUGUGCAAAAAUGACAUGCAAAUUUGUGAAGCAUUUCAUAUUUUA
ensembl:snRNA U6 U6 spliceosomal RNA